GGAGAGGUACCGAAGCGGUCAUAACGGGGCGGUCUUGAAAACCGUUAGAGUCUUACGGCUCACAAGGGUUCGAAUCCCUUCCUCUCCG
rnacentral:tRNA from 1 species